rnacentral:ncRNA from 1 species
GAGAGCCGGAUGCGGGAAAUCUGCACGUCCGGUUUGAUGAGAGGAUGUGGAAACGGAGCUAUGGCGAGGUUACUCGGACACCGCCAGACGAAAGAGGCGGCAACAGACAAACCGGCCCUAAUGCUACCGCGCCACAUCUCGACUCUAC